UGAAGGAAGUAAGUGGAGCCUGGGGUCCAUGAAACCCACUGCCAAACCAACCCAGACAGAGACAAAGUAUCCCUAUGUUUCCCAGGCUGAUCUCAAACUCCUGGCCUGAACUGACCUCCUGCCUCAACCGACCUCCUGCCUCAACCUCCAAAGCACUGGGAUUAACAGCAUAAGCCACUGUGCCCAGCCUAAUUUUUACUUUUCAACUUUGUACGUUGCGGUGUUUUUAAUACCCCUGCCAAGACCACAGUUUUAGGUAAACCGCCAUCCUGCCUAUACCCAUGUCCCUGUUCCCUUUCCUAGCUGUGUGACCUUGGGAAGUUCCCUUGCCUCACGAGGCAUCAACUUGCUCUUCUGUUAAACGGGGACAACAGAACCCCGUGAGACACUCUGACAAUCACAUGAAGCUAUGUGAAUAAAACAUGGGCCUAGUA
rnacentral:lncRNA from 10 species